GCCUUCGUAGCUCAGUUGGUAGAGCAAUCGGCUUUUAACCGAUUGGUCCAAGGUUCAAGUCCUUGCGAAGGUACCA
rnacentral:tRNA from 1 species